GAGUUUGAUCGUGGCUCAGGAUGAACGCUAGCGACAGGCUUAACACAUGCAAGUCGAGGGGCAGCACGGUGUGGCAACACAUGGGUGGCGACCGGCGCACGGGUGAGUAACGCGUAUGCAACUUGCCUAUCAGAGGGGGAUAACCCGUCGAAAGACGGACUAAUACCGCAUGAAACAGGGGUCCCGCAUGGGAAUAUUUGUUAAAGAUUUCAUCGCUGAUAGAUAGGCAUGCGUUCCAUUAGGUAGUUGGCGGGGCAACGGCCCACCAAGCCGACGAUGGGUAGGGGUUCUGAGAGGAAGGUCCCCCCAAUUGGAACUGAGACACGGU
rnacentral:rRNA from 1 species